CCUACGGGAGACAGCAGUGGGGAAUAUUGCACAAUGGGGGGAACCCUGAUGCAGCGAUGCCGCGUGGAGGAAGAAGGUUUUCGGAUUGGAAACUCCUUGUAUCAGGGACGAUAAUGACGGUAACAGAAGAAAAAGCUCCGGCUAACUACGUGCCAGCAGCCGCGGUAAUACGUAGGGAGCGAGCGUGGUCCGGAAUUACUGGGGGUAAAGGGAGCGUAGGCGGGACGGCAAGUCAGAUGUGAAAACUGAGGGCGCAACCUUCAGACUGCAUUUGAAACUGCUGUUCUUGAGUGAGGUAGAGGGAAGCGGAAUUCCUAGUGUAGCGGUGAAAUGCGUAGAUAUUAGGAGGAACAUCGGUGGCGAAGGCGGCUUACUGGGCUUUUACUGACGCUGAGGCUCGAAGGCGUGGGGAGCAAACGGGAUUAGAUACCCUAGUAGUC
rnacentral:rRNA from 1 species